rnacentral:rRNA from 1 species
GAUUAUCUAUUCAUUUAUUCAGCUGCCAAUGAACCAGUGGUAGCUCCAGCUUCGUCUCGGUGCGUUGAGGGUGUGCUGAGGAGGCGCGAGCGGCGGCCGCGGCAGCGGCAGCGCGGCGGUACGAGGUCGGGGCUUCGACGCGGGGGCGGGCGGAGGAGGAGGAGAGAAGAGGGCGCCGGAGGGGGGAUGGGCGAGGAGGGGUGGCGGGGUAGGGGCGGCAGAGGGGCUUGGGAUCGGAGCGGCGGCGCCUCCUGAUGGCGGAGCCGCUGGAGUGGUCCGGCGUUCGGGUGGAGUUCCGGGUGCGGCAGGAGCCGGAGCCGGAGAGGGAGAGGUGGCCGCCGCGGGGACGUCGCGUCGUCGUCAUUUGUCGGUCUAUGUUCUUCAACCUUCGUUACCCCCGCAGAGAGUCGAAGGGGUUGUUGCCCUUCGUUUGGAACCUCGUGCCCCUUCGCAGCUUCGGUCCAAGGAGCUUCUUCGAUGCGGUGCCAGUAAUGGUGGGCUCCGACUAAGGACUGGAGGGCCUGCUCUAGAGGGACGUUUAGGAGCGCUCCUACGGUUCCCACGCCAUAGAAUCGUCGUUCUACCAAAGUGCCUCGACCUUCCGGCGGUAGUGUCCACACCUCGACAUGGCCCACUCCUUCCUCGAACCGCACCUACUCCUUACCUAAAUGUAUGAGUGGUUCCGCCGGCUACCGUUCGACAGCACCGUACGAAAACUAGGCGAAACGUCGGCCACCGUCUCCGACGGCGAGUACGGGCCCCAACGAGCACCCCCCUCGGCAAAUCCGCCAAACCACUCGCGACCCUAAUCCUAGAGACCACGAUAAUCUCCGAACGAAGCGGUCCUCCUAACCAACCUGUUCUAAGGGAAAACACGAACACGGCAACCUUGCUAGCUACCUACGGAGAUACAAAACCCGCCCAAGAGGUCUCGGUGUCGCUAGUUUUCACACACCUUCAUACUAGGUCGACAUUUAGACACCGUCCUUCAUUCGAGCUACUCGUGGCGUGCUCGCAAACCGUCCUGACCGGACAACUUGUUGUUCGACAUGCAACAGCCGCCACAGUAAUCCCUUCUUUGACCUAACCGAGGCGAAGUUAGACGACUUCACAAACUGGGCCGGUGUCCUUAGACCCGUCUACACGGUUUGUACGGGAAGAGGUUUCGUGUUUGAGACGGCUGACGUAAGGACCGGCUGAAUGACUUCGGCCAACGAUGUCCUUAUCAGAGCAAACCUCCGUUCGACAUACACGGAGUCUCGAACAUAAGGACCGGCAAGAAACAACUACAACCACCCCUCCACAAACUAGGGCGCUGCCUGAGUACCAGUCUCUACGGACAUCCGGACUCGCUCCCAACCGGACCCUCCGUUCGUCCCUGUUUUAAUUCACGACAACACUUACCCCUGGAUAUACGAGACCUCGGUGGCUGAACAAGACUACCUCCGUUCUAUUUCUGCAUACUAGGCUUCCUUCUAUGUACCUUCCGACAACAACCGGUCCACGGACAACCACUGAAACGCCUCAGUUUUACAGGCAUGAACGAACGCCCCAAAGAACCCUUCGAGGUAAACCAGUAGUUUCUAUACUUGUUGUACUAGUCGUAGGACGUUUGCCUGCGAGAUUUCGGAUACCUACGUUGACCGAGCUGUACGGUUUUGGGGCUACAGAGAACCGGAAACCUCGUUCCGUUACUACAAACCUCUUACCACCCGAGUUUCUUUAAACGCCGACGGCUUGAACAAUCGACGGUCCGCGAGUCGUAUACUUCGAACCUCUUUGGUAUGUAUGUAAGACGAGACGAGUGUAGACUGACUUACUAUACCUAACCUUUACAUUAGAACGGUCGUUAC